rnacentral:snRNA from 1 species
AUACUGACCUGGACGGGGUCAAUGAGUGAUCAAGAAGACUCAUGGCCUAGGCUAGUGACCUCCAUUGCACUUCGGAAGGGUGCUUGCUUAAGGUCGUUAAGGUCUUCCCAAAGUGGGAGAGCCUACGUCAUAAUUUGAUGCACUGGGGGCUUGCUUUCGUGCAGCCCCUGC